rnacentral:rRNA from 1 species
UACGGGGGGGGCAAGCGUUGUUCGGAAUUACUGGGCGUAAAGGGCGCGUAGGCGGCCGAUCAAGUCAGGCGUGAAAUUCCCGGGCUCAACCUGGGGGCUGCGCUUGAUACUGAUUGGCUUGAAUGCGGGAGAGGAUAGUGGAAUUCCCAGUGUAGAGGUGAAAUUCGUAGAUAUUGGGAAGAACACCGGUGGCGAAGGCGGCUAUCUGGCCCGUAAUUGACGCUGAGGCGCGAAAGCGUGGGGAGCAAACAGG